UGGUGGAGUGAUUUGUCUGGUUAAUUCCGUUAACGAACGAGACCUUAACCGGCUAAAUAGUCACACGAUUCUCGAAUCGUGACUGACUUCUUGGAGGGACUGUUGGUGUUUAACCAAAGUCAGGAAGGCAAUAACA
rnacentral:rRNA from 1 species